UACGUAGGGCGCAAGCGUUGUCCGGAAUCAUUGGGCGUAAAGAGCUCGUAGGUGGUCUGUUACGUCUGCUGUGAAAUCCUAGGGCUUAACCCUGGGCCUGCAGUGGAUACGGGCAGACUAGAGGUAGGUAGGGGAGAAUGGAAUUCCCGGUGUAGCGGUGAAAUGCGCAGAUAUCGGGAGGAACACCGGUGGCGAAGGCGGUUCUCUGGGCCUUACCUGACACUGAGGAGCGAAAGCGUGGGAGCGAACAGG
rnacentral:rRNA from 1 species